AGGGCGAAAGGUCAGAAAUGUGUGCUUUUWGAUCACACACGUGAUGAGGAUUUGAAGCCAACAAGCUUUGUAUCAGUCUCGUGAAUGAAUAAAGAACCAUGAAGAAGCAACAAGUCAAGGAACAAAUAGCAAGUCGAAGAGUUUGCUGAAGAAGGCAGAAGUGCCGAAACGUCCAAUAAGCAGAGUUAUUAUAACUUCAACUGUGUGAUCAUCUUUUCCAAGGAAACAAC